CCUGGUCAGGAUAAGCUGGCGGCGUGCAUAACACAUGCAAGUCGAACGAUGAAGCUUAGAUGAUUUCUUCGGAAUGAACUUAAGUGGAUUAGUGGCGAACGGGUGAGUAACACGUGAGUAACCUGCCUUACACAAGGGGAUAGCCUCUGGAAACGGAGAAUAAUACCCUAUAAAGUCUAAUCAGCCCAUGCUGGAAAGACCAAAGAUUUAUCGGUGUAAGAUGGACUUGCGUCUGAUUGGCUAGUUGGUGAGAUAAAAGCUCACCAAGGCGACGAUCAGUAGCCGGCUUGAGAGAGUGUACGGCCACAUUGGGACUGAGACACGGCCCAAACUCCUACGGGAGGCAGCAGUGGGGAAUUUUGCACAAUGGGGGAAACCCUGAUGCAGCGACGCCGCGUGAUUUAGAAGGCCUUCGGGUUGUAAAAAUCUUUUUUACGGGAUGAAAAUGACAGUACCGUAAGAAUAAGGUCCGGCUAAAUACGUGCCAGCAGCCGCGGUAAUACGUACGGACCGAGCGUUCGUCCGGAAUCAUUGGGCGUAAAGGGUACGUACGGCGGCCUAUACAGUUAGAAGUUAAAGAAUAUAGCUCACUAUAUACCAGCUUUUCAAAACUGCUAGGCUUGAGAGAUGGAGGGAAAGUGGAACUUCCUAGUGUACGGUGCAACAUGCGCAGCAUAUUNAGAGGACUCACCGGUGGCGAAGGCGACUUUCUGGCCAUUAUCUGACGCUGCAGGUACGAACAGCCGU
rnacentral:rRNA from 1 species